GCAUCGACAGCUCAGUGGCAGAGUGGUGGGACGGUACCCCACGCGUCCCGGGUUCGAUUCCCGGUCGAAGCU